rnacentral:rRNA from 1 species
GACGAACCGUGCGAACGUUAUUCGGAGUCACUGGGCUUAAAGCGCGUGUAGGCGGGACGGCACGUCGGUCGCUGAAAUCCCCCGGCUUAACCGGGGAACUGGCGUCGAUACGACCGUCCUGGAGGGGCGUAGGGGGACCUGGAACUUCCGGUGGAGCGGUGAAAUGCGUUGAGAUCGGAAGGAACGCCCGUGGCGAAAGCGAGGUCCUGGACGCCUACUGACGCUGAGACGCGAAAGCCAGGGGAGCGAACGGG